AAUGCAGAACUUCCGAAAUAGUUAAAUCACUUGUAAACAGGCAUAGCUAACUUCAGCGAAUAACACUCUUUCAUAGUCACGACAGAGUGACAGGCAUCAUAGGCAACACAGCAGAAUGAUUGACGCCUACAAAUACGUUAGAAUUUCUGCUCAUAUAGCUAUUGGUAGCCCCUCCCCUUUUUGUUAUUUUGCUGGGCGCGUACUAGUCUCGGUCACCCAGAAACUCCUAGUCUUCAACAUAUUCGUAGAAUAUUUUUCUGGAUAAUAGAAACUAAUAGCCUACGUGACUCAUCACACGGCUUCAUAGUAAGCACUGCCUAAUAAUAUGUUAAGCAAUAUUCGUGCCGCGCUCGAGAUCAAGGGAAAGUGCCACCGUGGAUGAGAAUUUCUAUAUGGAUUCUUAAAAGACGUAAAAGAUAUCGUAGACAAAAUGACUGUCCAUUGAUUUAGGGUGUUAUUUACUUUUACGAUAUGUGACAUCUAUGAUUAGUUUAUUAUAGAUGAUGUCGGCUCACAUCAAUGCGAUUAAGAUGCCCGACAAAUGAGGUGGAUUAAAAUUAUGAUCAUUCUUAUUGAAUUGAUGAAUAGUCCGACAAAAGGAAAGCAAUGACUUCUGUUUAAGAUUAGAUUGAUGAAUUGUCCGACAAAGGAUUAAGUCAGUCAAUCAAGGCAGAUUAAGUAGUUAAAUCAAGGUAGGUUUAUACUAUAGACGGUAUAACACGAUAAAUACGUUGAUCACUUAAUUACCUAAUAAACCCAGCGUAUUAUCAACGAUAAUCGGGUUGAGUGGUAGUUAUACACUCAGUAAACUAUAUUAAUUUCAGAAUUUUGAAUAUUAUUCACCAUGUCUUGAUGUCCGAUUGGGCAUAUUCCCGGUCGGACAAUUUUGGGCGUUUGGAAAAAAGAUUCGGACAAGUCUGGAAUAUACAGGCAAAAUCCCAUCACUGGAUUACAUACUUGUGACUGGAAUACUUUAGAGUGAAUUUUAAAAUGAAACAUUAUCUUUGAAGAGUUGUGAAAAUUCCAGCUGGACGCGGAACAAUCUGUUGUAUUUGAUAUAGGCCUACAGUUAGUCCAGUCUAUUUUAGAGGAAUGAAGUCAAAUCAAGCAUCCACAUGGAGAAAGACGGUCUCAUUCAUGCCAUACGAUGACUAAAGGAAUAUGAUAUACAGUUGGCUACUCAAAUCAGUAAAUGGAUCGGUGACAACCUAGUGAAUAUGAAUCACUUUUUCGUUAUCUGGCACGAAGCUAAAGGUUUGAAAACAAAAUAGAUGGCAGUUGGAAAAGAAAAACACUGUGACAUCAUCAAUCUCUGGAUUUUAAGGAUAACGAACCAUCUCUUUUGGUGUGCAGUAAUCAGAGACAAAGACAAUUCAGUGCAGUUGCUUCGGAAUGAAACAUUGUUGUCAAAUUACCACAAUGAAACCAUUUCGUUUUGUAAAAGACGAGAGGAACCGUAGAUAACAAUUUUACACUCAUCUUUUUGUUUUCAUACAAAGUGAAUUAUUGUACAGGUUUACUGUUGGCUUACAAUUAUCAUUAUCAAACAAAUUCUAAAUUGGAUCUUAAAAUAAAUUACCAAACAAA